GCCUGGACUGAGGUCCGCGCUUCGGCUAGGAUGCUGGCGUAAUGGUUGUAAGCGGCCCGUCUUGAAACACGGACCAAGGAGUCUAACAUCUGUGCGAGUGUUUGGGUGUUAAACCCGUACGCGUAAUGAAAGUGAACGGAGGCGGGAACCCCUCGGGGUGCACCGUCGACCGAUCCUGAUGUCUUCGGAUGGAUUUGAGUAAGAGCAUAGCUGUUGGGACCCGAAAGAUGGUGAACUAUGCCUGAAUAGGGUGAAGCCAGAGGAAACUCUGGUGGAGGCUCGCAGCGGUUCUGACGUGCAAAUCGAUCGUCAAAUUUGGGCAUAGGGGCGAAAGACUAAUCGAACUAUCUAGUAGCUGGUUCCUGCCGAAGUUUCCCUCAGGAUAGCAGUAACGUUUUCAGUUUUAUGAGGUAAAGCGAAUGAUUAGAGGCCUGGGGGUUGAAACAACCUUCACCUAUUCUCAAACUUUAAAUAUGUAAGAAGUCCUUGUUGCUCAGUUGAACGUGGACAUUUGAAUGUAUCGUUACUAGUGGGCCAUUUUUGGUAAGCAGAACUGGCGAUGCGGGAUGAACCGAACGCGGAGUUAAGGUGCCGGAAUGCACGCUCAUCAGACACCACAAAAGGUGUUGGUUCAUCUAG
rnacentral:rRNA from 1 species